rnacentral:rRNA from 1 species
UACCAGUGGCGAAGGCGACUUUCUGGACUAAAACUGACGCUGAUGCACGAAGCAUGGGUAGCAAACAGGAUUAGAUACCCUGGUAGUCCAUGCCGUAAACGAUGAGCACUAGGUGUCGGGUGUAAAGCUCGGUGCCGGCGUAACACAAUAAGUGCUCCGCCUGGGGAGUACGUUCNCAGAA